UACAGAGGGUGCGAGCGUUAAUCGGAAUUACUGGGCGUAAAGCGUGCGUAGACGGUUACAUAAGUCGGGUGUGAAAGCCCCGGGCUCAACCUGGGAAUUGCAUUCGAGACUGCGUAGCUAGGGUGCGGAAGAGGGAAGCGGAAUUUCCGGUGUAGCGGUGAAAUGCGUAGAUAUCGGAAGGAACACCAAUGGCGAAAGCGGCUUCCUGGUCCAGCACCGACGUUCAGGCACGAAAGCGUGGGGAGCAAACAGG
rnacentral:rRNA from 1 species